AGAGAGCUAGUCUAAACACAAGACCUCUGAUUUCGACUCAGAAAAUCAUGGUUUGACCCACGGCUCCCUC
rnacentral:tRNA from 1 species